AGCGGCGGACGGGUGAGUAAUGCAUAGGAAACUGCCCAGUAGUGGGGGAUAGCCCGGGGAAACCCGGAUUAAUACCGCAUACGCCCUUUGGGGGAAAGCAGGGGAUCUUCGGGCCUUGCGCUAUUGGAUGUGCCUAUGUCGGAUUAGCUAGUUGGUGGGGUAAGAGCCUACCAAGGCGACGAUCCGUAGCUGGUCUGAGAGGAUGAUCAGCCACAUCGGGACUGAGACACGGCCCGAACUCCUACGGGAGGCAGCAGUGGGGAAUAUUGGACAAUGGGGGCAACCCUGAUCCAGCCAUGCCGCGUGUGUGAAGAAGGCUUUCGGGUUGUAAAGCACUUUCAGUGAGGAGGAAAACCCUGCGAUUAAUACUCGUAGAGCUUGACGUUACUCACAGAAGAAGCACCGGCUAACUCCGUGCCAGCAGCCGCGGUAAUACGGAGGGUGCAAGCGUUAAUCGGAAUUACUGGGCGUAAAGCGCGCGUAGGUGGUUUGGUAAGCGAGAUGUGAAAGCCCCGGGCUCAACCUGGGAACGGCAUUUCGAACUGUCAGGCUAGAGUAUGGUAGAGGAGUGUGGAAUUUCCUGUGUAGCGGUGAAAUGCGUAGAUAUAGGAAGGAACACCAGUGGCGAAGGCGGCACUCUGGACCAUACUGACACUGAGGUGCGAAGCGUGAGAAGCAAACAGGAUUAGAUACCCUGGUAGUUCACACGGC
rnacentral:rRNA from 1 species